GUAACUCGUUCAGUAUGCCUUCACGGCCUCUUAAUGAAACGCGCGGCCCCGAGGCGAGACCCAUUCAUCCCCGCAGAUGGUCCCCGCCGCCCUGCUUUGUGCAAGCUGAGCACCGGCGCCAGCUGCACACCCACCCGCACCCAGACAUCUGCGGACCGAGCCGUCUUUUGUUUGGCGGGGACCGCCCCUGGACGUCUGGAUCCGCACCUCGUUCUGGCAGGAACAGCCGAUGAUGAUGGACGCCAGACGGCCGCAGAUCACCGAUCAUCCUGCGCACGAUCCCGGGCCGAAUUCCGCCUGGUUGCCAGGGAUACGGCUGUCUAAAAGCCCGGUCUCCGAGCCUAACCAAACACAUGACGACCAGGAUGUGGAGCGCCUCACCUCCCCAGCGGUGCUGCUACAUCGCUCCUCGUUACCCAGCAGACUCUGCGCGGGCCGGGCCGGGCCGGGCCGGGCCGGAACCGUUCAGGGUGUUCAAGCUCCAAGCUGCCAUGGAUGGGGAAAAAGACGCCUUCGUCAUCCGGCUGAAAGGAAACCCCAGGUACCGGUAGCUAUAGCAUUUUCCUUACACACAUAUACACAUGCGGAGGAGGACGAUUCAAGGCCAGUUCAAACCCCAGUAGACACAGCGCCCAGUAGCCCAGGCUCUCACGCUGUGGAGGGCGACAGCUUCCACACAUGGUUGCGUUCCACCCUGUGCUGCUUUCUACGUCUGUGUUCCUCUGCAGAGUCUUGGAGGCAGACAGGGGGUUCCGAAGGGGAGCCUCGCACCCCUGGACGUGGCCAAGCGACCAGCGAUGCCAUUUUUACCGGUAAAGCGCCUCCAUUAGUCAAACGGACUUGCAGCUCAGCUGCGUUUACACGGCCUGCAGAAAUCACGAGGACGCCUACCAUCCUCUGUCUCAUCGUCACGGGAGGACAAGCAACAGGGCAGCGGUGCAAUAUGAGGACUGGAGGAACAGCUGGAGAUUCAUCUGAUGCUUGAACUUGGAGCAGUUGCUGAAUUUGUUGAAAAAGAGGCAAAUGUAUGCUACUGCAUACUGUUUUCUUUUUAUAUAAAUAUCUCAUUAAUGUCUUACACACUUCAGAUCAUUUGGAUUUUGAGCCAGAGAUGUGCUAAAACAUUGUGUAUGUGUGUGUGAGAAAGAGAGACUUGCUGCAGAGCGAACAUGCACACCCACUAUAAGUUCGGUCCAGUCAAUCCACAUUCACAGCGUUCUCACCAAGAGAAGGACAAGCAACUGUGAAUGACGAGUGUGUGUGUGUGUGUGUGUGUGUGUGUGUGAUGCUCAUCAACGCUGUUUCAUUUCUGCUUCACGUUCUCUUCCUCGCUGCCUCCUGCUGUAUAACCUAACCCUUCAACAGCAUGGCUCCUCCAAUCACAGCCCUUACUCUACCGAGUGCAGCUGUCCCUGCUGCUUCUCCUUUACCUGUGGGUCAGGUGUGAAGACACUUGUUUAGCUAAGUGCUUCCCAACAGUGCUUUCCACCUUAGGUGGGUCUUUGAGGAUCAGUGAUCGGUAACUUUCCACUGGUAGCGCAUUUUAUAUCUAGAAAACAUCCAAUAAUACUUAUACUUAUUGUAAUACUUGCAACUGGUUUCUUCACAACCUGCUCUAUUGUUCGCCUUCUGUCCUGAAAAACCUGCUUUAAUUACAUCAACAUUGCUUGAACGGUAAAAUGGCACACAGUCUUUCAGUCAAACCCAUAUAGAGUAGUAACAGUUGUGGUUUCUUGAUUUUAAAGGCUGUUGCCCACACUUUGAUAUAUACAUAUAUAUAGAUAUAUAUCUAUACUAUGUGCUGGUAUUGGCUGUUUUCAUAUUAGAAUUACAGUAUAGUACAGAAUCAGCCUGAAUAUUAAAACUAUCACCACAAAACAUUGUAUUUGGAACCAUAUCUAUUUUAAGUUUCUCUUUAAAGACUUUGCUCUCUAUAAACGUAUGAUAGAAAGAAUGUUGAGGCUGGUAGUCGUGCAUAUGUUGCU
rnacentral:lncRNA from 1 species